GCAUGGGUGGCUCAGUCGAUAGAGCAUCCGACUUCGGCUCAGGUCAUGAUUUCACAGUUUGUGGGUUUGAGCCCCGCAUCAGGCU
rnacentral:tRNA from 1 species